UACGAAGGGUGCAAGCGUUACUCGGAAUUACUGGGCGUAAAGCGUGCGUAGGUGGUUCGUUAAGUCUGAUGUGAAAGCCCUGGGCUCAACCUGGGAAUGGCAUUGGAUACUGGCGAUCUAGAGUGCGGUAGAGGGCAGUGGAAUUCCCGGUGUAGCAGUGAAAUGCGUAGAGAUCGGGAGGAACAUCUGUGGCGAAGGCGACUGCCUGGACCAGCACUGACACUGAGGCGCGAAAGCGUGGGGAGCGAACAGG
rnacentral:rRNA from 1 species